CACUUUCUUAUAAUAAAUAUAUCCAUUGAAUUUUGGUUUGUAAUUUCCAUACAACAUCCCAUUAAAUAUAGAAAACACGUAAGUAAGUUUUUAUACAAUACAAUUCAAGGGUUGAAUGUCAGGAAAGAGUAAGCACGUUUUACAGAUAUUCCAUGAAUGAAUGAGUAAAUUGACUAUAAGAAUGAGCCACAUUGAAGGUUAUGUGUUUCCAGAACAUUUCUUGCAGACUGUUUGACCUUUUGACCAGUCAAAUAAUGGUUUCUACAAACAGGCAUGUACACGUCAGCACCAGCCACUACUUCUCUCUCUGUCUCCUCUGUUUUCCUUAAAGUAAAAAAAGCAGGCUUUCCACUAUGUGUUCAAGUUGAUUUACCAUAAAUAUUCGAUAAGUAAUGAAGGUAAAGUUAAACAUAAUGGGAUUCAUCGCGAUGCUCUCCCACUCUCCCUCGAAAACCAUCAAACAAAAAGUCAUGUCCGUAAUUCACGACUCAAAAGAACUCCAUAUUAUCUUCCAAAUCCAUGCAUUCCUUCUAAAAACUUCCUUACAAUCCGACAACUUCAUCAUCACCAAGCUGCUUCGGAACUUCUCUUUGAAUUCUUCAAACAAUUUGCUUUAUGCCAGAUCCCUUUUUGACGAAAUGCCAUGUCCAGACACAUUUCUUUGGAACACCAUGAUCAGAGCUUACUUAAAUUCCGAAAACCCCGACGAAUGUCUGUCUUUAUUUCACCAGUUGCGUCGCCAAGAUCACCACUUUAUAGACAGUUUCAGCCUCUCUCUUGUGGUUCAAGCGUGUGGGAGGUCGGGUUUUCUUCAAAACGGUCAAACGAUACAUACCCAGGUAUUGAAACUUGGUUUUGGGAAUGAUCUCUUUGUCCAGACGGGUCUCACUGAAAUGUACGUGAAAUUCGGGUGGAUAGAAUUUGCGAGGAAGGUGUUUGGUGAAAUGAAAGAUCCAGACUUGGUUUCGUAUAAUGUAAUGCUAGCUGAGUAUGUGAGGAUUGGGGAAAUAAGUUUAGCACGCCAACUGUUUGAUAAAAUGUCUCAAAGAGACUUGGUUUCAUGGAACAUCAUGAUCCAUGGUUAUGCCUCACUUCCCCAUGGAGGUAAAUAUUUGGUUUCUUGGAGCAAGCAGUCUCACGAGGCUUUGAAUCUCUUCCAUGAUAUGCAAUUAGCUAACUUUUUACCUGAUAAAAUCACAAUUGUGAGUGUGUUAUCCGCAUGUGGAGAUUUAUGUGCUCUAACUACAGGCAUGAAAGUUCACAAGUACAUAAUUCAAAACCGAAUCGAAAUAGACAUAAAGCUUGCAACUUCCCUUGUCAACAUGUAUGCAAAAUGUGGAGAUAUAAACACUGCAUUGAAAGUUUUCAAUGGCAUAAAAAAGAAAGAUGUGUUCUUAUGGAGUGCUAUGAUCAUGGGGUUUUCAAACCAUGGGUAUGGCGAUCUUGCACUCGAUCAUUUCAACAAUAUGAUAAAUGAAGGAGUUAAACCAAAUGGUGUCACCUUUAUAGGUGUUUUAAGUGCUUGUAGUCAUAUUGGUUUAGUGGAUAAAGGGUGGGAAUACUUUAACUCCAUGAGUGAUGUAUAUGGAUUAACACAAGAAAUGGAACAUUAUGGUUGCAUGGUUGAUAUUUUGAGUCGUGCAGGACAUUUAGAUAAAGCCAAAGAUUUAAUCAUGAAUAUGCCUUUUGAACCGGAUGUGGUGGUUUGGAGAGGGCUUCUUGGGGGAUGUAAGAUUCAUAAAAAUGUUGAAAUAGGUGAAGAUGUUAAUAGGAAAAUAAUAGCACUAGAAGGUUAUGAUGAUGGAAAUUAUGUGUUGUUAUCCGAUAUAUAUUGUGAAGGUAAAAGGUGGGAAGAAGCUGUAAAUGUUAGGAAGAAGAUGGAAGAAGUUAGAAUACAAAAGUCUCCUGGAAUGAGUUCAAUCGAGGUUGAUACUACACCCAAUCAAGAUCUAGAUUGACAGACAUUCUGUAUCAAAAUUCAUAAUUUUUUGUUCUCUACAGUAUCGAUAUAUUGUUAUUAUAAUAAUGAUUACAUCUAUACAUACAAUUUAUACAUCCAUACAUACAAAAAUUAGUUGGUCAGAAUAACCAACGCAACCGAUAAGACCAAAUAUUGUUGAUAAUUUAUAAAUGAAUGAUUAAAAUUUAUAAUUUUUAUUCUUUACAAAGAAAUGAUGAAACUAAAACAUAUAAAGAGAAGAGAGGAGGUGGAUGGAAGUUUGCACCAUGUCUAGCAAUAAGUUACAUGCAAGUGUUCAAAAGCAUCAAAAGAAAGAAAUGAAAACAAAAAAAAAUGUAUAUAACUUAUAACUCUUACAAUAAUUGCCAUUCUAAAUGCAUAAAUCUAUCUAUAGAUCAUUGAAGCUCUUUUAACAAACUAGACACCAAUAUAUACCAUGUUACAUGAUUAGGUACAAACCCUUUGACAACACCUCUACUUAAAAGCAAAUACGCUUUAUCAAACAUGCUUUCUUUACAAUACGAAGAUAUCAAAGUAUUGUAAGUAAUCACAUCAGGACUCAUACCUUUCAACUCCAAAACUUCAAACAGCUUCAUACCUUCUUCCACAUUUCUCAUCUUGCAUAAUCCACUAAUUAAAGUAUUAUAACUCACAAUAUCAGGAAUCAUCCCUGAAUUCUCCAUAUCUUGUAAAAAAUCAAACGCCUUUUGUAGUUUUCCAGUUUUAACAAAUCCAUUCAUCAAAAGAUUGCAAGAAACAGUAGUUUGAUUGAAAUCCUUCUCCCUCAUCUUCCCAAAAACAUCGAAUGCUUUUUCAACAGCUCCAUCUCUGCAUAAAGCUUUUAUUAGGCCAUUAUAUGUGAUUUCAUCAAGUGAGCAUCCAUGGAAUAACAUCGUGUCUACGAGGUUAAAAGCGUCAUUAAUCAAACCUUGUUUAAGAAAAGAACGAAUCAAAGUGUUGUAAGUUACAGUAUCCGCAACAACACCUUCCAACACCAUGUCUUUUUGACACAUUCUCAAUGCAUGUUGAAUCAUUUCAAUCUCACAUAACCCAAAUAUUAGUGAAUUGAAAGUGAAAAUGUCGCGUUUACAUCCAUUCAUACGCAUUUCUUCAAACAAGUUUACAGCUUUAUAGACAUCACCAUACUUACAUAACGAAUGUAUGAUUGAAUUGUAUCCAAUUGUGUUUAAACUCAACCCCUUUUGUGACAUUUCUUGAAUCACCUCACUUGCUUCAUCAAAUCUUUGAUUCUUACAAAAUCCAUUAAUCAAGAUUGUGUAAGUGAUUGUGUUGGGUUCAUAACCUUUUGAUUCCAUUUCUUUCAACAAAUCAUGAGCUGAAACCAAAUGCCCAGUUUUGCAAAGACCAUGAAUGAGUGAAGUGUAUGUAUGAAUAUCGGGAUGACAGCCAUUAAUGGACAUCUUUUCACUCACAAUUGCUUUAGCUUCAUCAAACUGCCCUUUUGCAAUAAACCCGUUUACUAACAUGUUGUACAUGAUGCUAUUUGGUUCAUGAACUUUAGUAAUUAGGGUUUUAGCUUCUUCCACUUGCUUAUUUCGACAUAAUCCAUGGAUUAGAACCCCAUAAGUUAGGGCAUUUGGAGUGAACCCACGAAGAAGCAUCCUAUCCAUUAAUUUUGCAGCCUCAUGGAUUCGAUUUGAUCUACAAAGAGCAUGAAUAGCAUCGUUGAAAGUUUCAAGAUCAGGUGUACAACCCAUGACUAUCAUCUCUUCCAAAAGUGUUAACGCUUUAUCUACUCUAUUAUCUUUGGAUAAUGCGUGAAUCAGGGUCUGGUAAACUUUUGAGUUUGGGGCACAUCCGUACUUUGUCAUGCGUCUAAGGAGAGUACAUGCGGAAUCAACUUCGUUAAUGGAGCAAUGUGCUUUCAUUACAAUCGCAAAACUGAAGACAUCAGGAGGGAUGCCUCUUUCAAGCAUUUCGUCGAACAAUUUGGGUGCGUCUUUGAAGCAACCUCCUUGGACGAGUAUAUCCAGAACGGCGUUAUACGAUUUGGAGGUCGGUUGACACAAGAAAACGUCUCGCAUUUUUACCAAAAGCAAUCUCCUGGCUUGACCAGGUAAAUCGGCUCUCUGGUAAUGCCUCAUGAUCAUAACGAAAAGGGUUUCUUGAAAAACUAUCCCUUCGUCUUUCAUCUGCAUCAACAAUCUAUCGAUGGUCUUGAAUUCUCCAACCGCUCCAAUCUUAUCGAUUAAUGCGUAAUACACGUCGAACGUAUGAGCGUAGCCUUUUUGGGUACCGGCGGAAUUGAAUAUUUCAAGUGAAGUUGAUACAUCAAGUGGAAGGUGAAGUAAUUUUUGAAGCUGAAGUGGGGUGAUUCUAUGGAGCGAUUCCCUGAGUUGUUCAAUGUCGAAAGGUUUAAGCAAUUUCCCCCAAUCGGUUUCAGACUCUGAACAACUUCCAUUGCCGUUUGAAGUAGAAAAUGGAUAAAUUUGGGUUUUGUUUAGAGAUUUUAGGAUUUGGAGAAGAUGGGUUGAUGAAAAACUUGAUCUUUUCAACAUGAUUUGAAGGAUUGACAUGAAAAUGCGUGUGGUGAUGAUAGUAGGAUCGCAGAGAGCUCAUAUCUGGGUCGGAAGCGAAGAACACCGUAGUUGCCACAUCAACUGAAAACAAUAUUCCAACAUCUUCCUUUGUUGUUAACAACUCCAAACAUAAUAUAGAGUAAAAUUUAAUUUUUAAAUAAUGAGACUUUCACAAAUCUAUUGAUAAUAGUUAUUAAUUUAAAAACCAAUUCAUAAUAUAAUUUCUUUUACAAAAACAAAAAAUUAUCAUCUACAACUACAAGUACAAACAACACAAUUUAGAGAUUUAUUUCAACGCCUACUCAUCAAAACCACAAGAAUUAUUCUUGUAAAACCAAUCAAGUUAAUAUAUUUCUUUUAUAUAAACAAAGCAAUGUAAAAAUCUAUUGCAAUAUCUUACUUUCAAAACCACGAGAGGUAUAAAUCAUAUAAAAUUAAAAUGAUUCUUAAUGGAAUCAUUUUAAUUUUUGGAGAAGAUGAACAUUGCAUCAUAUUUUUUUUUUUGUAGCAAACGAUUAUUCUUCUAGCAACAGAGAAGUAAAUCUGACAUACUAUGCCCCAUUAGAUAUUUGAUAUAAAGAUGUAAUGCUCACAAAAUUUUCAAUCCAUUAUGGAAUUAAACCUUUUAUAUAACUAAUGGGACUCAAACCCUUAGACCAUUUUUGCCGAACCCAGCUAUGCACUAACAACUGUUGAUGUAUUUUUUUAUAUGAAAUUAGUAACAUUAAUAUAUUUCACUUUCUUAUAAUAAAUAUAUCCAUUGAAUUUUGGUUUGUAAUUUCCAUACAACAUCCCAUUAAAUAUAGAAAACACGUAAGUAAGUUUUUAUACAAUACAAUUCAAGGGUUGAAUGUCAGGAAAGAGUAAGCACGUUUUACAGAUAUUCCAUGAAUGAAUGAGUAAAUUGACUAUAAGAAUGAGCCACAUUGAAGGUUAUGUGUUUCCAGAACAUUUCUUGCAGACUGUUUGACCUUUUGACCAGUCAAAUAAUGGUUUCUACAAACAGGCAUGUACACGUCAGCACCAGCCACUACUUCUCUCUCUGUCUCCUCUGUUUUCCUUAAAGUAAAAAAAGC
rnacentral:lncRNA from 1 species